GCUUUUCCGCCCCGGCUCUUCUUUUGUUGUCAAGUCCUUUUGAUAAAUGGUGGGGCUGGGAGCUCUGGGAGUCGGGAGCCAGUCUGUGCCCGCGUGGGGGGCGGGGGCCGAGCCUGGAGACCCGGUUUCGACCGGCGCGCACCUGGGGCUGAGCCGGGUGCGCGCGGGGGUCGGGUCUGGAACUGCCCUUGGUAUGCUCGCCCUCUCCUCUUGGCCCAUCUCACUCCCCUCCCCCACCUGACUCCCCUCCCCGGCUUCUUUCUCUGUCUCCCACUCCGCACGGGUACCGAGAACUUUCCGGGAAUCGACGGGAUUUCUCUGGCUGUCGUUUGCGCUGCAUUUAUCCGAAUACAUCCAGCUCGCAGGCAUCCUGCAAGAAACGGCUCCCGGCUCGCGUGUACGCCGACACCUCGGCCCAACGCAGGACUCGAGGUGGUUUCUAGUGCCCGGGUGGCUGCAAGUCUGCCCUCCGAGGGAGGCUGGACAAGCGGCGCCCCCAGGUCGAGCGGCCUCUCGCUGCCUGGCAGUGCCUGGCAGCCCCCACCUCUGCCAGUGCUUCGGAAACCCGCCUGGCCAGGUUCGCCCGCGGUGAAAAAUGAAAGCAAAUUCCCCAACAGAGGUAGCCGGAACUUUCCUCGACGAAGGCUCCCUCCUGCGCCUGUGUCUGGAGAACCCCCAGAGCGCUGCAAGUUAGCAAGAGAGAUUCGAUGGCGGCUCUGGAAGGCGCACGAAGGGUGGGGCGGGGGAGCAAAGAGGCCACUGGGUGACCCAGCCUGGUCCGGGGUGAAACGCUAGAGAAGGCGCCUCGCCUUCCUUAUUUCAAUGCAACUCCUCGGCCCCAGACGGUAAAAAUAGUUUCCAAGCUGCCGCGGACGCCCAGGAUGUGUUUGCAGAGAUCAAACUGGGGAGGAGGCAGCUUUGUAAAAGUUGCAGAAAGAUUAGCCGAGAAGCGUCCGCCCGGCGGGGCUCAAGAAAGCUUGGGGACAGCUCCAUGUUCCUUGGGGCGGAAUGGCCCAAGAAUUGGCCUGGGUAACCCCCUGCCCAGUUCUCUGUCCUCACUUCGAGCCAGUGCUUAAAUAACUUCCCGCCGCCUGCCCUGCAAACUUCCCGGCGCGGCGCCGUUGAGGCCAGGACACAGCAAAGGCUAGCAAAACCCCGCCGCGGCGCGCUCGGCCCCGGCCCUGAGAGGCUGCGCGGGUGGGAGGACCAGUGUGGUUUCUGCUCCCACUCGGCUGCCCAGACCCUCAAGACCGAUCCCCCAACUCCUGGGAGCGGGUGCUUCCCUCUGGGAGCCGAGAUCUUGCGGGGCCAGCGAGGGCGCAAAGUGCGCGCGCUGGCCCGCGCGGGGGCGGCCGCGCGUCUCUCCGCGGGGCCUGUCGCCAGGCCGGCCGCGGCGCGUGAGUGAUGAGGGCAGAGAAGGGCGCCCAUAAAUCGCGGGUGUCAGGGCGAAAAACUCUCUUUAUUGUCUGCGUGAUGGAUGGGCCCGGGGACGAGACACCAAAUACUUCGUAUCGCCUUUAAAUGGGAACACAUUUUCCGCGGCCAUAAUUCAUGUUUUUUAAAUAGAAAGUUUGAAAUGUUGCCUAUAUUUCACCAGCCCUGACAUAUUUAUGAAUCGCUCCCUGCAUGCAAAUAUCAUUACUUAAAGCGCCGGGGAGAGCGCGGGGGAGGGGAGGAGGCGCGGUUCCCGGGGCGUGGGGGUGGUGAACCGGGGAAAUAUCGGUGGAGGGGGGCCAUCUCCCUAAAGGGCAGAGGGUGAGGUGCGGUGAAUAGCCGUAUCCGGAAACCGAGCGUGCCCCGGGCUUCUUUCCCGCCGCCAGACCCCGCACAGCCGCCCUGGGACGUUUUUCGAGGCUUGGGACCUAAGACGGGUCCCCGGACCCUGCUGGGAAACCAGGGGGCGUUUUUCGUCCCUCUCUGAGGCCAUUAUCCAAGCUGAAACCACCUUUUAUAAGAAAAAAGUUUAAAGAAAAAAAAUUUAACAAACACAAAUAAUAAUAAUAACCCAACAUGUUUCGCGUUCUUUGCCAAAAAAAAAAAAAAAAA
rnacentral:lncRNA from 1 species